rfam:Schistosoma rodhaini strain Burundi genome assembly, scaffold: SROB_scaffold0000374
AUCAAGCUGACGAGUCCCAAACAAAACAAAACGAGCGUCCUGGAU